rnacentral:rRNA from 1 species
UACGUAGGGUCCGAGCGUUGUCCGGAAUUACUGGGCGUAAAGAGCUCGUAGGUGGUUUGUCGCGUUGUUCGUGAAAACUCACAGCUUAACUGUGGGCGUGCGGGCGAUACGGGCAGACUGGAGUACUGCAGGGGAGACUGGAAUUCCUGGUGUAGCGGUGGAAUGCGCAGAUAUCAGGAGGAACACCGGUGGCGAAGGCGGGUCUCUGGGACGGUACUGACGCUGAGGCGCGAAAGCGUGGGGAGCGAACAGG